rnacentral:lncRNA from 1 species
GCAUGAUCAAUGAACACGUUUUAAGUUGAGAUACACUUAGAUCGUUUCAGAUCUCCUUAUCACCUCUGAAAAUAUUCCAAAUGACAAAUAAUCGCGUACAUAAUUGUAAACGUAUGAACAAAAUGUUGUGCUUGAUUCUUUUACUAGCUGUUACUGGACACGGCCUAGGUAGGAUUUAUGAUUAAGAUAUAUUAUAUUUUCAGUAUUAAUUAUUUAUAUUGAUUACUUGAUUCCCAGUGACAACUAUUUGAUAAACUUUAAGCUAUAAGCUAUUAAAACAAUACUAGAAGUUGAUUUCUGCAGGGAAAAUAAAGUAUGUGUUACAUAUUUGUUUUUCGUUCAUUUUUUAUAUAUAAAUAAGGCCGUUAGUUUUCUCAUUUGAAUUGUUUUACAUUGUCAUAUCGGGCCUUUUAUAGCUGACUAUGCGGUAUGGGCUUUGCGCAUUGAUGAAGGCCGUACGGUGACCUAUAGUUGUUAAUUUCUGUGUCAUUUUGAUAUCUUGUGGACAUUUGUCUCAUUGGCAAUCAUACCACUUCUCCCUUUAUUUAUAUAUAUAUAUAUAUAUAUAUAUUAUAUAUAUAUAUAUAUAUAUAUAUAUAUUGAUCGAUACGUCUGUAUAUAUAACUAUAUGAUAAAUAACUAAUUCAGUAUUUGAAUGUCUUGAAGUCAUAGCCUGGCAAGUUUAACACUUAUCAUGAAUUUUAUGACAAAUGCAUUAGCGUAGAUAUUUAUUCAUAUUCAUACUUACACAAUGGCACAAUAAAGAAAAGAAAGAGGUUCAACAUUUUGCAUGUAUGUGUGUAAGAGUUGCCUUUGUUUGUUUUGUUUACAUAUUUGUUUUAAUUUGUAUACAAGUUUUUGCAUAACGUCAUUUGACAAAUACUUCAAGCAAAUCAUGGACAAGAAUAAAUAAAUUAAUCGAUUGAAAAAGAAUACAGUGAACCUACCAUGCCUAACUUGACGUAAAAUAUACUGUAUCAUUUGUAUCACAGUGCAACUUUACGACGAUAUAUAUAACUUAAAACUUAAAAUGCAGAGAAUAAAAAAGUGAAGGCAAACUCUGGUUUCUGUCCCGGAAUUGCUUCUGUUAAAACAUUUUAUGACUGUUGAACAUCGGUAUACUACUGUUGCCAUUAUUCAUACAUCAAAAUUGAUUGCGUUUCAAUUUAAGCCAGUGACCAGCCAUGCACAGAUUUAGGAGGCCAUUGCCAGGAUGACCACCACAAAUGUAGUGGUUCUUACUACUCAGGGAAAUGUUCUGGUAGUGCUACAAGACGUUGUUGUACAAGGACAGCAGUAGGUAUGUUACCGUUAAGUAUAUUAAUAAUGAACCAAUUGACUCUCAAAGAAGUCGAUAAUCAUAAGACGUGGCAAUUAGAUGCAAUUAGAUGCCCUGUUCGUUAUAUGUAUAUGUUAAUAUAUUGGUAGUAUUGUGUCACAGAAAACUAUCUUUAGAUUUUCAGAACUUUUUUUGGAGCUGCAGAAAACGUUUUUGUAUGAGGCUUAAGACGAUAAGCACUGAGUGACUGUUAAAUACAGUUACAUUAAGGUGGUACCUAACACUACAGGAGAUAACUCUGUAAAUCACUAAACGUUUUAAUUACGUUUGUGUUGUAAAAGGAAUAUUAAGCUUCAUAAUGAUCAAAUUGGUGUUUGUCAAAACUGCUAUAUAACCAGUGUAAUUUUCUCACAAAACGGUUGAUUCAAAAUUUUUUUAAUUUUUUUUUUUUUGUUAAAGGGUCAAAGUAAUAACUUUGUACAAAAUUUAAUGAAAUUAAACGAGCCCAAAUUAAUUUUAGUGAAAGUGUUGGGUACCACCUUAAAUGAAGGCUAGAUAUAUUUUGUCUGCAAAACACAUGUUUCUGUUGACCUAUCCCAGCCUAAAUAGAAAGUCAAAUACAUAUAAGGUGAGGAAUAUAGCAACUUUCAUUUAAUAAUACAUUCAGUCGACAACAAUAAGAGAGACUAACAAUGGCUGCUCAAAUUUAUUUUUAAUUUUCUCGAUUACUCGUGACAAUUACCCCCUAUGCAUAUCAAAAAGAGGAAAUGAAGAAAUCUCGUGGAAUUUUAAUGUAACAGAUUUUGAUCAUGUGCAUAAUAUAACUGUAUAUAUAUAUAAUUUAAUUCGUACCUUUUAAACCCAAGCACUAUGAUACUAACAAAUCAACCAAUUAUAAUGUAAAACCAUUUUACUUAAAAAAAAGGCUAUUUGACAAAGUAACUGGGGUAUUGUUGAAAUCAAUUGUAGAACAUGAUACUGGUGACUGCUCUAAUGUUAAGAUAAUAUCACGUGACAGUUGGGGAGCCCGAAGACCAGCGAGUAUAUCGACUAUCCAUUCA